CGCCGAACACAGGGGAGCGCCACAGGGGCGCUGAGAGUGCGGGCACACCGCAGACCCUCGAACCUGACCCGGUUAGAACCGGCGUAGGGAGUGGGAAUUCUCCUCGG
rnacentral:ncRNA from 1 species